GAUGAACGCUGGCGGCGUGCCUAAUACAUGCAAGUCGAGCGAAUGGAUUGAGAGCUUGCUCUUAUGAAGUUAGCGGCGGACGGGUGAGUAACACGUGGGUAACCUGCCCAUAAGACUGGGAUAACUCCGGGAAACCGGGGCUAAUACCGGAUAACAUUUUGAACCGCAUGGUUCGAAAUUGAAAGGCGGCUUCGGCCGUCACUUAUGGAUGGACCCGCGUCGCAUUAGCUAGCUGGUGAGGUAACGGCUCACCAAGGCAACGAUGCGUAGCCGACCUGAGAGGGUGAUCGGCCACACGGGGACUGAGACACGGCCCAGACUCCUACGGGAGGCAGCAGUAGGGAAUCUUCCGCAAUGGACGAAAGUCUGACGGAGCAACGCCGCGUGAGUGAUGAAGGCUUUCGGGUCGUAAAACUCUGUUGUUAGGGAAGAACAAGUGCUAGUUGAAUAAGCUGGCACCUUGACGGUACCUAACCAGAAAGCCACGGCUAACUACGUGCCAGCAGCCGCCGUAA
rnacentral:rRNA from 1 species